AUUGAACGCUGGCGGCAGGCCUAACACAUGCAAGUCGAACGAGUGGCGGACGGGUGAGUAAUGUCUGGGAAACUGCCUGAUGGAGGGGGAUAACUACUGGAAACGGUAGCUAAUACCGCAUACAAUUGGUUGUGCCCAGAUGUGAUUAGCUAGUAGGUGGGGUAAAUGCUCACCUAGGCGACGAUCCCUAGCUGGUCUGAGAGGAUGACCAGCCACACUGGAACUGAGACACGGUCCAGACUCCUACGGGAGGCAGCAGUGGGGAAUAUUGCACAAUGGGCGCAAGCCUGAUGCAGCCAUGCCGCGUGUAUGAAGAAGGCCUUCGGGUGGUAAAGUACUUUCAGCGGGGAGGCGUUACCCGCAGAAGAAGCACCGGCUAACUCCGUGCCAGCAGCCGCGGUAAUUC
rnacentral:rRNA from 1 species